UGACCAAACUGUGAUUGCGAUGACUGCCCCCCCAAAAGGACGAUACGGGAAGUAAAUUAUGUAGCAGACACGACAAGGGCGGCGGCAAGUUCCAUAUGGACAUGCUUCUUUCUAUAGAAUUAUUGGAUCUUCUCUUUCACCAAUGGUAAUUUCUCCUGUGAGGGUUAUUGCGGAUUCGGGUGAAGAAAAGGAGUCAUCAUCGAUGAAGCAUUGCUGAGAUGGCCUCUCUUGUCGACGGAAAUCUGAUGGACGGAAUGAGAUAGGAUAGAUUCCCAACGACCCCUGUGUUAUUUCCACAAACCGCUCGAAUGAAUGAAACGAGUCAUGAUUAAUCCCCACGUAAUAUUUAAUAAAUUUCGUGGAUAUCGAGUUAUAUCGCGAUGGAACGAUGGAGCGAUCUAGGAUUCAGGAGACCAGAUGAUCAGGAAGUCGGCGCAUAACUUGG
rnacentral:sRNA from 1 species